rnacentral:piRNA from 2 species
UCUAAAUCCAUGCCAUGUUGCAGAGAGUU